AGCCUCCGAGCCAGUGACCCUUCCCAGACCGCCGACC
rnacentral:ribozyme from 1 species